UGUUACAAAUCUGCUCGCAAGUUGUCGACAAGUUGUCUUCGCACUACUUGUUCCCAGUUGUUGUAACAAGUUUGGGACAAGCUGUUAACAACUUGUAACAAGCUUGAUAACAUUAUCAGACUUGUCAUAAGGUUGUUCUAACAAGUUUGAUACAGAUACAACAAGAAUGUUACAAGGUUGACGAUACAAGGUUGUAACAAUAUUGUUAUAUCACGGCUGUAUCGGACUUGUUGGAACAACCUUGCAACACGUCUGAUAACAUCAACAAGGUUGUUUCAACUGUUAACAAGUUGUUACAAACUUGUUAACAACUUGGGACAAGCAGUGCGAACACAACUUGUUGACGGCUUGUUGGCAGACUUGCUACA